AACGAACGCUGGCGGCAUGCCUAACACAUGCAAGUCGAACGAGACCUUCGGGUCUAGUGGCGCACGGGUGCGUAACACGUGGGAAUUUGCCUCGGGGUAUGGAAUAAACUCAGGGAAACUUGAGCUAAUACCAUAUAAUGUCUUCGGACCAAAGAUUUAUCGCCCUGAGAUAAAGCCCGCGUAGGAUUAGCUAGUUGGUGGGGUAAAGCUCACCAAGGCGACGAUCCUUAGCUGGUCUGAGAGGAUGAUCAGCCACACUGGGACUGAGACACGGCCCAGACUCCUACGGGAGGCAGCAGU
rnacentral:rRNA from 1 species